rnacentral:rRNA from 1 species
UACGUAGGGUGCGAGCGUUGUCCGGAAUUACUGGGCGUAAAGAGCUCGUAGGUGGUUUGUCGCGUUGUCCGUGAAAACUCACAGCUCAACUGUGGGCGUGCGGGCGAUACGGGCAGACUUGAGUUCGGUAGGGGAGUGGGGAAUUCCUGGUGUAGCGGUGAAAUGCGCAGAUAUCAGGAGGAACACCGGUGGCGAAGGCGCCACUCUGGGCCGAAACUGACGCUGAGGAGCGAAAGCGUGGGUAGCAAACAGG